rnacentral:rRNA from 1 species
UACAGGGGGUGCAAACGUUGCUCGGAAUUAUUGGGCGUAAAGCGCGCGUAGGCGGCUACUUAAGUCGGAUGUGAAAGCCCUUGGCUCAACUGAGGAAGUGCACCCGAAACUGAGUGGCUUGAGUACUAAAGAGGGUCGCGGAAUUCCCGGUGUAGAGGUGAAAUUCGUAGAUAUCGGGAGGAACACCGGUGGCGAAGGCGGCGACCUGGGUAGAUACUGACGCUGAGGCGCGAAAG